rnacentral:rRNA from 1 species
UACAGAGGUCUCAAGCGUUGUUCGGAUUCAUUGGGCGUAAAGGGUGCGUAGGUGGCGCCGUAAGUCGGGUGUGAAAUUUCGGAGCUUAACUCCGAAACUGCAUUCGAUACUGCGGUGCUUGAGGACUGGAGAGGAGACUGGAAUUCAUGGUGUAGCAGUGAAAUGCGUAGAGAUCAUGAGGAAGACCAGUGGCGAAGGCGGGUCUCUGGACAGUUCCUGACACUGAGGCACGAAGCCAGGGAGCAAACGGG